AUACUUACCUGGCAGGGGAGAUACCAUGAUCACAAAGGUGGUUCACCCAGGGCGAGGCUCAGCCAUUGCACUCCGGCUGUGUUGACCACUGCGAAUGGGGGUGAGCCGUACAGUAGUGCAAUUCAAUCGAAGACCAUUGGCUUACAAUCCACAGUAAAACUUGC